CAACCCUCAAGCCUAGCUUGGUGUUGGGGCAUUACCUGUACUGUUUUACAGAAGGGUAAGCCCUGAAAUUUAGUGGCGAGCUCGCCAGGACUCCGAGCGUAGUAGUAAAACCCUCGCUUAGGAUCGUACUGGCGCGGCCCUGCCGUAAAACCCCCAACUUCUGAAA
rnacentral:misc_RNA from 2 species